rnacentral:rRNA from 1 species
UACGUAGGUGGCGAGCGUUGUCCGGAUUUACUGGGCGUAAAGAGCGCGCAGGCGGUCGUACAAGUCGCGUGUGAAAGCCCCCGGCUCAACUGGGGAGGGUCACGCGAUACUGUUCGACUCGAAGGCAGGAGAGGGUAGUGGAAUUCCCGGUGUAGUGGUGAAAUGCGUAGAUAUUGGGAGGAACACCAGUGGCGAAGGCGGCUCACUGGACUGGUACUGACGCUGAUGCGCGAAAGCGUGGGGAGCAAACAGG